rnacentral:rRNA from 1 species
GAAGGAUCCAAGCGUUAUCCGGAUUUAUUGGGUUUAAAGGGUGCGUAGGCGGACUAUUAAGUCAGUGGUGAAAGCCUGCAGCUUAACUGCAGAACUGCCAUUGAUACUGAUGGUCUUGAGUACAUUUGAGGUGGGCGGAAUGUGUCAUGUAGUGGUGAAAUACUUAGAUAUGACACAGAACUCCGAUUGCGAAGGCAGCUCACUAAACUGUAACUGACGCUGAGGCACGAAAGCGUGGGGAUCAAACAGGAUUAGAUACCCUGGUAGUCCACGCCCUAAACGAUGAUUACUCGAUGUGUGCGAUACACUGUACGCGUCUGAGCGAAAGCAUUAAGUAAUCCACCUGGGGAGUACGGCCGCAAGGCUG